rnacentral:rRNA from 1 species
GACGAACGCUGGCGGCGUGCCUAAUACAUGCAAGUAGAACGCACAGUUUAUACCGUAGCUUGCUACACCAUAGACUGUGAGUUGCGAACGGGUGAGUAACGCGUAGGUAACCUGCCUGGUAGCGGGGGAUAACUAUUGGAAACGAUAGCUAAUACCGCAUAAUAUUAAUUAUUGCAUGAUAAUUGAUUGAAAGAUGCAACUGCAUCACUACCAGAUGGACCUGCGUUGUAUUAGCUAGUAGGUGAGGUAACGGCUCACCUAGGCGACGAUACAUAGCCGACCUGAGAGGGUGAUCGGCCACACUGGGACUGAGACACGGCCCAGACUCCUACGGGAGGCAGCAGUAGGGAAUCUUCGGCAAUGGACGAAAGUCUGACCGAGCAACGCCGCGUGAGUGAAGAAGGUUUUCGGAUCGUAAAGCUCUGUUGUAAGAGAAGAACGGGUGUGAGAGUGGAAAGUUCACACUGUGACGGUACCUUACCAGAAAGGGACGGCUAACUACGU